UACGGAGGGUGCAAACGUUGCUCGGAAUCAUUGGGCGUAAAGCGCACGUAGGCGGCUCGUUAAGUCGGAUGUGAAAGCCCUCGGCUCAACCGAGGAAGUGCAUACGAAACUGGCGAGCUUGAAUAUGGAAGAGGGUCGCGGAAUUCCCGGUGUAGAGGUGAAAUUCGUAGAUAUCGGGAGGAACACCAGUGGCGAAGGCGGCGACCUGGGCCGGUAUUGGACGCUGAGGCGCGAAAGCUAGGGGAGCAAACAGG
rnacentral:rRNA from 1 species